ACUACUGAGAUGUGGAAGACCCAGGGUUUUUCCAUUUGCCUGGGGAGACAAACUCAUGGGCACAUAAUUAUGAUGUAGUGGGUGAAGUUUUACUGCAUUGUGUUCAAAAGUACCAUGAGGAAACCAGCAAGUGAAGUCCCAGAAGCUGAGGUGGGGUCAGGGUGUCAGGAAUAUCCUACAGAGGUGGUGUCUGAGCUGAGCUUUGGAGGAAGCAAAUGGAUGUAUCAGCCCUUCUUUUCUGGAAGCCAGUGGACAGAUUUGGCUCAGUGAAAGGAAGAAGUGUAGCGGUUGGACCAGCCACCCAAAGGAUGGAUGAACAGUGAACUUCCCAGUCCUGGACAUAGUCUAACAGUUUAAGGAUUCCCUGGUGGUCCAGGAACAGCAAGCAUCAGCAUCACCUGGAAGCUCACUGACAAUGGAGAAUCUCAGCUGCACCUCGGACCUAAAGAACCAGAAUCUGCAUUUUAACAAGACUUCCACGUGAUUCACCAACAACUGGAGUUUGUGAAGCGUUGUUCUCCUUCAGCUCUGACAGUUGCCACCCACUUCCCUGGAGGAGAGCCAGCUCUUCAAAAUUUUUAUACUCAUUAGCCAUCAUGAGCUUUCUGAAGCAUGAGCUAUCUGAAGCAGCAUGUAGUAUGUCAGCCCCCUCUUCUCCACACAAAACACUUAAUUGA